rnacentral:rRNA from 1 species
GACGAACGCUGGCGGCGUGCUUAACACAUGCAAGUCGAACGGAAAGGCCCCUUUGGGGGUACUCGAGUGGCGAACGGGUGAGUAACACGUGAGUAACCUGCCCUUGACUUCGGGAUAACUUCAGGAAACUGGGGCUAAUACCGGAUAGGAAUCCUUGCUGCAUGGUGGGGGUUGGAAAGCUUCGGCGGUUUUAGAUGGACUCGCGGCUUAUCAGCUUGUUGGUGGGGUAGUGGCUUACCAAGGCUUUGACGGGUAGCCGGCCUGAGAGGGCGACCGGCCACAUUGGGACUGAGAUACGGCCCAGACUCCUACGGGAGGCAGCAGUGGGGAAUAUUGCACAAUGGGCGGAAGCCUGAUGCAGCAACGCCGCGUGCGGGAUGACGGCCUUCGGGUUGUAAACCGCUUUCAGCAGGGGCGAAGCUUGUGGUGACGGUACCUGCAGAAGAAGCACCGGCUAACUACGUG